rnacentral:rRNA from 1 species
AAUUUUGGACAAUGGGGGCAACACUGAUCCAGCCAUUUCGCGUGUGUGAUGAAGGCCUUCGGGUUGUAAAGCACUUUUGGCAGGAAAGAAAUCGCGCGGGCUAAUAUCCUGCGUGGAUGACGGUAUCUGCAGAAUAAGCACCGGCCAACUACGUGCCAGAAGCCGCGGAAAUACGUCGGGUGCAAGCGUGAAUCGGAAUUACUGGGCGUAAAGGGGGGGAAGGCGGUUCGGAAAUAAGGAUUUAAAAUCCCAGGGCUCAACCUUGGAAUGGCAUUGUUAACUACCGGGCUAGAGUGUGUCGGAGGGGGGUGGAAUUCCGCGUGAGGCAGUAAAAGGCGUAGAGAUGCGGAGGAACACCGAUGGCGAAGGCAGCCCCCUGGGAUAACACUGACGCUCAGGCACGAAAGCGUGGGUAGCAAAC